CCUGAGAGAGGGUGGGGUGAGGCUGGGGGAGAGAUCCCUUCUCCCGAUGGAUAAAACAAAAUGAAACAGCCUCGAGUUGCAGCAGGGGAAGUUUAUUCAGAAGAAAAUUCCGUCAUGAAAAGGGUUGUCCUGCCCUGGCACGGUGGGAUUGCUGUCUGGAAUUAUCCCAAAAAAAGGCCGGAUCUGGCACAUGGGGACGCUUCACAGAUCCCAAAUCUCUGCAGAUUCCUUCUGUCUGUUCAUGAUCUCAUCCAAACCCAGCCACCCCUCAAGCCUCUUCAACCCCAAAAAAUUCCUGCCAAAAAAAAUCCUCAUUUUGGAGCUCUUUUCCCUUUUUAUCAAACCUAAAUUAAAACCAAAUAUCCCCAAAUUCAUCUCUCAGGACAAAGGUCACCCACAGAUCCCACAGCGAGCGUGGUUUGACAUCAGCUUCCAGGUGAAUUCCUCACUUCUGGUGAAUUCCUCAUUUCCAGGUGAAUUCCUCAUUUCCAGGAGAAUUCCUCACUUCCAGGUGAGUUAAUUCUUCAUUUCCAGGUGAAUUCCUCACUUCCAAGUGAGUUUCUCAAUUCCAGAUGAGUGAAUUCCUCACUUCCAGGUGAAUUCCUCUCUCUUUUUCCUCCCGACUUCCACAUCUCACCUGUGUUUUUUUUCCCCCUGUUUGCUGAGAAUUUGCCUUUUUCUUCCCCCCAAGGUCACCCCCUGGUCAAACCUCCCUCCUUCCUCCUCCUCCUGGUAAUCCCAGGCCGGCUGUUGCUGGCUCUGCUCCCCCGGCUCCGGCCGCUGACCGCUGGCGUGGGCGGCGUUAAUCAGGGCUAACGAGGAGAUGGGGAGGGAGGCCCUGCUGGGGUUAAUUAAUGAUCCCAUCCCUGCUGGAUUCUGGAAUGAGCUGCCUCAAAUUCUUGGAAUUGGGAGGAAAUCAGAGUUUGGCAAACAGGGGUUUUGCAUAAAUCAUUAAUUCGGGGAGUGGUUAAUUAGGGGAGAAGGGAAGGAGGCUCCAGGAUCCCAAAUGGUUUAUUAGUGGUUAAAAAUUAAUUGUGGGAUUUGUAGGGAUUUUUUUGCAGGAGAUGAGAUUGGGGGGAAAAAAACAUUUCAGGGAUAAAGUGAUAUUUGGGAUAAU